CCUACGGGAGGCAGCAGUGGGGAAUAUUGCACAAUGGGCGAAACCCUGAUGCAGCGACGCCGCGUGAGUGAAGAAGGAUUUCGGAAUGUAAAGCUCUGUUAGUAGGGAAGAAAAUGAAGGUACGUGACUCUGAAGCCACGGAUAACAACGUGCCAGCACCCGUGGGAAAACGAAGGGAGCAAGCGUUAUCCGGCUUUACUGGGCUUAAAGGGAGCGUAGGCGGUUGGGUAAGUGUGGAGUGAAAGCGGGGGGCUCAACCUCGGGACUGCCUUGGAAACUGCCAGGCUGGAGUGCAGGAGAGGUAAGUGGAAUUCCUGGUGUAGCGGUGAAAUGCGUAGAUAUUAGGAAGAACACCGGUGGCGAAGGCGGCUUACUGGGCUGUAACUGACGUUGAGGCUCGAAAGCGUGGGGAGCAAACAGGAUUAGAUACCCCAGUAGUC
rnacentral:rRNA from 1 species